UACGGGGGGGGCAAGCGUUGUUCGGAAUUACUGGGCGUAAAGGGUUCGUAGGUGGCCAACUAAGUCAGACGUGAAAUCCCUCAGCUUAACUGGGGAACUGCGUCUGAUACUGGUCUGGCUUGAGUGCAGGAGAGGAACGCGGAAUUCCAGGUGUAGCGGUGAAAUGCGUAGAUAUCUGGAGGAACACCGGUGGCGAAGGCGGCGUUCUGGACUGCAACUGACACUGAGGAACGAAAGCUGGGGGAGCGAACAGG
rnacentral:rRNA from 1 species